rnacentral:rRNA from 1 species
ACCUGGCGGCGUGCCUAUCAUGCAAGUCGAACGCACGAAGUUGAAGAGCUUGCUCUUUACCAAGUGAGUGGCGGACGGGUGAGUAACACGUGGGUAACCUGCCCAUUAGAGGGGGAUAACAUUCGGAAACGGAUGCUAAUACCGCAUAGUUUCAGGAAUCGCAUGAUUCUUGAAGGAAAGGUGGCUUCGGCUACCACUAAUGGAUGGACCCGCGGCGUAUUAGCUAGUUGGUGAGGUAAUGGCUCACCAAGGCAAUGAUACGUAGCCGACCUGAGAGGGUGAUCGGCCACACUGGGACUGAGACACGGCCCAGACUCCUACGGGAGGCAGCAGUAGGGAAUCUUCCGCAAUGGACGAAAGUCUGACGGAGCAACGCCGCGUGAGUGAAGAAGGUUUUCGGAUCGUAAAACUCUGUUGUUAAAGAAGAACAAGGAUGAGAGUAACUGCUCAUCCCCUGACGGUAUUUAACCAGAAAGCCACGGCUAACUACGUGCCAGCAGCCGCGGUAAU